rnacentral:rRNA from 1 species
ACACAUGCAAGUCGAGGGGCAGCAUGUCCAGCAAUGGAUGAUGGCGACCGGCGAAAGGGUGCGUAACGCGUGAGCAACAUGCCCUAUACAGGGAGAUACACCAGGGAAACUUGGUCUAAUAUCCCAUAGCAUUCAUUGAAGGCAUCUUUAAUGAAUUAAAGCUUCGGUGGUAUAGGAUUGGCUCGCGUGACAUUAGCCAGAUGGUGAGGUAACGGCUCACCAUAGCAAUGAUGUCUAGGGGUUUUGAGAGGAAGGCCCCCCACACUGGGACUGAGACACGGCCCAGACUCCUACGGGAGGCAGCAGUGAGGAAUAUUGGACAAUGGAUGGAAAUCUGAUCCAGCCAUGCCGCGUGCAGGAAGACGGCCUUAUGGGUUGUAAACUGCUUUUAUACGGGAGCAAUAAGGGUUACGAGUAAUCCGAUGAGAGUACUGUAUGAAUAAGGAUCGGCUAACUCCGUGCCAGCAGCCGCGGUAAUACGGAGGAUCCGAGCGUUAUCCGGAAUUAUUGGGUUUAAAGGGUGCGUAGGCGGCCAUUUAAGUCAGCGGUGAAAUUUUGCAGCUUAACUGUAACAGUGCCGUUGAUACUGUUUGGCUAGGAUUUGGUUGUAGUGUGCGGAAUGUGUGGUGUAGCGGUGAAAUGCUUAGAUAUCACACAGAACACCGAUUGCGAAGGCAGCACACUAAGUCAUUAUUGACGCUGAGGCACGAAAGUGUGGGGAUCAAACAGGAUUAGAUACCCUGGUAGUCCACACUGUAAACGAUGAUAACUCGCUGUCGGCGAUACACAGUCGGGGCCAAGCGAAAGC